UGGGACGUGGUGUACGGUGCACGGCCGCAUUCAAUUAGGAAUUGGGCAUCAUGACGGUGAAGCAGCACGUCGGGGUUCGACUCCCCGCGUCCCAA